rnacentral:tRNA from 1 species
ACUGAGGUGGUGGAAAUGGUAUACACACAGGUAUCAGAAGCCUGUUUCAAAAUUGAAAAUAGGGGUUCGAAUCCCCUCCUCAGUA